rnacentral:rRNA from 1 species
UACGUAGGGUGCGAGCGUUAAUCGGAAUUACUGGGCGUAAAGCGUGCGCAGGCGGUUUUGUAAGACAGAUGUGAAAUCCCCGGGCUCAACCUGGGAACUGCGUUUGUGACUGCAAGACUCGAGUGCGGCAGAGGGGGGUGGAAUUCCACGUGUAGCAGUGAAAUGCGUAGAGAUGCGGAGGAACACCGAUGGCGAAGGCAGCCCCCUGGGCUGACACUGACGCUCAGGCACGAAAGCGUGGGGAGCAAACAGG